ACCUCUCGGCACCAGCUCCCCGUCACACAUGGCCCGAGGCCUUGCUGUCUUCUCUGUGUUGGCCGGUGUCCUCAAUGGCCUUGUAGGGCAAGACUCUGCAGGACACAUCUCCUGGGUUCCAGGAACUUUGCCAGGCCCCGGGAGAAAAUGGUGAGCAGAUAGACCUGUCCUCUGCCCUCAUGGCUUUGAUGUUCUAAAGGGAGCUGGGCAGGACCACCACCUCCCACUCCAAACUGGAUCACUCAGAAAGAUGCCUGGCAUGGCUGUGUUUUAAAGGGCACCUUGCCGGUGGAGAUGGGGGUCGGAGGGCUUGGCAUUCUGGCCCCUGGCGGGACUCUCAGCCGGCGUGUCCUGCAUCGACAGGCGUGGGAGGGCCACGGAAGCAGAGGGGUGGCAUGAAUGAGGAGGAAGAAAUUGCGUCUUCUCAGCCAGUGUCCUGCAGCCAUGCGAAGGAUCUGGAAUGUUCCAUAAGUAAGCUGCAGCAAUUUGGGAGGGCCCAGGACCAGCCCCCUACAGGCCUCAGACUCCUUUUUUUUUUUUUU